rnacentral:rRNA from 1 species
UACGUAGGUGGCAAGCGUUGUCCGGAUUUAUUGGGUUUAAAGGGUGCGUAGGCGGCUUUGUAAGUCAGUGGUGAAAUAUGGCAGCUCAACUGUCAGGGUGCCAUUGAUACUGCGGAGCUUGAGUACAGAUGAGGUAGGCGGAAUUGACGGUGUAGCGGUGAAAUGCUUAGAUAUCGUCAAGAACACCGAUAGCGAAGGCAGCUUACUGGGCUGUAACUGACGCUGAGGCGCGAAAGCUAGGGGAGCGAACGGG